UACAGCCAUAUCACAUUGAAACAGCAGUUCCAGUAUGAUCAUCGAAGUUAAGCAAUGUUGAGCCUAGUCAGUACCUAGAUCGGUGGCCACUUAGGAAUACCAGUUACUGUAAG